rnacentral:rRNA from 1 species
GACGAACGCUGGCGGCGUGCCUAAUACAUGCAAGUCGAGCGAAGUUUUUCUGGUGCUUGCACUAGAAAAACUUAGCGGCGAACGGGUGAGUAACACGUAAAGAACCUGCCUCAUAGACUGGGACAACUAUUGGAAACGAUAGCUAAUACCGGAUAACAGCAUUAACUGCAUGGUUGAUGUUUAAAAGUUGGUUUUGCUAACACUAUGAGAUGGCUUUGCGGUGCAUUAGCUAGUUGGUGGGGUAAAGGCCUACCAAGGCGACGAUGCAUAGCCGACCUGAGAGGGUGAUCGGCCACACUGGGACUGAGACACGGCCCAGACUCCUACGGGAGGCAGCAGUAGGGAAGCUUCCGCAAUGGGCGAAAGCCUGACGGAGCAACGCCGCGUGAGUGAAGAAGGAUUUCGGUUCGUAAAGCUCUGUUGUUAGGGAAGAAUGAUUGUGUAGUAACUAUACACAGUAGAGACGGUACCUAACCAGAAAGCCACGGCUAACUACGUG